CCCGGGGAACUGAAACAUCUAAGUACCCGGAGGAAAAGAAAUCAAACGAGAUGCCCACAGUAGCGGCGAGCGAAGAGGGCAGAGCCCAAACCUGUAAGCUACGGCUUAUGGGGGUUGAGGACUGACGUAAUUAAGGCCAGGCUUAGCUGAACUACCUGGGAAGGUAGGCGAUAGAAGGUAAGAGCCCUGUAAGCGAAAGGCAGAGCCUUAAGGUCAGUAUCCAGAGUACCACGGAGCACGAGGAAUUCUGUGGGAAGCAGGGGGGACCACCCUCCAAGGCUAAAGACUAACUGGCGACCGAUAGCGCAUAGUACCGUGAGGGAAAGGUGAAAAGAACCCCGGGAGGGGAGUGAAAUAGUACCUGAAACCGUAUGUCUACAAGCAGUCGGAGCGAAAGCGACGGCGUGCCUAUUGAAGAAUGAACCAACGAGUUAUCUGCACUAGCGAGGUUAAGUGGAAGACACGGAGCCGUAGCGAAAGCGAGUCUGAAAAGGGCGGCGAGUUAGUGUAGGUAGACCCGAAACCGCAGUGAUCUACCCAUGUCCAGGUUGAAGCGCAGGUAAAAAUGCGUGGAGGACCGAACCGGUGAGCGUUGAAAAGCUUUCGGAUGAGAUGUGGGUAGGGGUGAAAUUCCAAUCGAACGCGGAGAUAGCUGGUUCUCCCCGAAAUAGCUUUAGGGCUAGCCUCAGGUAGUAAGUAUAGGCGGUAGAGCACUGAUCGGGCUAGGGGCCAUAAAGGUUACCGAACCCUGUCAAACUCCGAAUGGAUAUACUGCAGAGCCUGGGAGUCAGACUACGAGUGAUAAGAUCCGUGGUCAAAAGGGAAACAGCCCAGACCACCGGCUAAGGUCCCAAAUGCCGUACUAAGUGGAAAAGGAUGUGGGGAUUCAUAAACAACCAGGAUGUUGGCUCAGAAGCAGCCACCAUUUAAAGAGUGCGUAAUAGCUCACUGGUCGAGAGUCCCUGCGCCGAAAAUUUCCGGGGCUAAAGUACGGAACCGAAGCCGUGGCUGUGUACUUAGGUACACGGGGUAGGGGAGCGUUGCCACAGGGGUGAAGCUGGUCUGGAAGGACUGGUGGACUUGUGGGAAGUGAGAAUGUUGGUAUGAGUAGCGAAAAGAAAGGUGAGAAUCCUUUCCACCGAAAGCAUAAGGAUUCCUGAGCAACGAUCGUCGUCUCAGGGUAAGUCGGGACCUAAUCCGAGGCAAAGAGCGUAGGAGAUGGACAACAGGUUGAUAUUCCUGUACCGGCAGCAAUUGUUUGAGCGAAGGAGUGACACAGAAGGGCAGGCAGGCGCGAGACUGGAUUGUCGCGUGCAAGCGUGUAGGGUAGUGUACAGGCAAAUCCGUACACUGAGAGCCUGAGGCGUUACGCGGAGCGAGCAGAGAUGCGAGCGAAGCUGCUGAUCCCACACUGUCGAGAAAAGCUUCUAGUGAGAGAGCUGCCGCCCGUACCGUAAACCGACACAGGUAUGCGGGGAGAGAAUCCUAAGGUGCGCGGGAGAACCCUCGUUAAGGAACUCGGCAAAAUGUACCCGUAACUUCGGGAUAAGGGUAGCCGUCUUGGUGAAGGAGCUUGCCUCUGGAGCUAAAGGCGGUCGCAGAGAAGAGGCCCAAGCGACUGUUUACCACAAACACAGGUGCCUGCUAAAGCGAAAGCUGACGUAUAGGUGCUGACACCUGCCCAGUGCUGGAAGGUUAAGGAAGGAUGUCCGGGCAACCAAAGCAUUCGACCGAAGCCCCAGUGAACGGCGGCCGUAACUAUAACGGUCCUAAGGUAGCGAAAUUCCUUGUCGGGUAAGUUCCGACCCGCACGAAAGGUGUAACGAUUUGGGCACUGUCUCAACGAGGGACCCGGUGAAAUUGAAAUACCUGUGAAGAUGCAGGUUACCCGCGACUGGACAGAAAGACCCCAUGGAGCUUUACUGUAACCUGACAUUGGGUUUUGUUGUAUUACGUACAGGAUAGGUGGGAGGCUUGGAAGGCUGGACGCUAGUCUGGCUGGAGCCGGCGUUGGGAUACCACCCUUGAUACAACGGAAUUCUAACCGAGAGAGUAACGAAAUCCGGGACAGUGUCAGGCGGGCAGUUUGACUGGGGCGGUCGCCUCCGAAAGAGUAACG
rnacentral:rRNA from 1 species